UUCUGGUUGAUCCUGCCGGAGGCUACCGCUAUUGGAGUUCGAUUAAGCCAUGCGAGUCGAGAGUCUUAGGGACUCGGCGUACCGCUCAGUAACACGUGGGUAACCUGCCCUAUGCUGGGGAAUAACCUCGGGAAACUGAGAAUAAUACCCCAUAGUUCACCACGCCUGGAACGGUGGGUGGAUGAAAGCUCCGGCGGCAUAGGAUGGGCCUGCGACGUAUCAGGUUGUAGGGGGUGUAACGUACCCUCUAGCCAUCAACGCGUACGGGUGUUGGGAGACAUAGCCCGGAGAUGGAUUCUGAGACACGAAUCCAGACCCUACGGGGUGCAGCAGGCGCGAAAACUUGGCAAUGCGAGCAAUCGUGACCAGGGAACUCCAAGUGGCUGGGGUAAUACCCAGUUUUUUCUUGACUCUUCAAAGGUCUUGGAAUAAGGGGUGGGUAAGGACGGUGCCAGCCGCCGCGGUAAUACCGGCGCCUCAAGUGGUAGUCGCUUUUAUUGGGCCUAAAACGUCCGUAGCCGGUCUGGUGCAUUCGUGGGUAAAUCAACCCGCUCAACGGGUUGAAUUCUGCGAGCACGGCCAGACUUGGGACCGGGAGAGGUGUGGGGUACUCUCAGGGUAGGGGUAAAAUCCUGUCAUCCUGAGAGGACCACCUGUUGCGAAGGCGCCACACUAGAACGGAUUCGACGGUCAGGGACGAAACCUAGGGGCACGAACCGGAUUAGAUACCCGGGUAGUC
rnacentral:rRNA from 1 species